UACGGGGGGGCAAGCGUUGUUCGGAAUUACUGGGCGUAAAGGCUCGUAGGCGGCCAACUAAGUCAGACGUGAAAUCCCUCGGCUUAACCGGGGAACUGCGUCUGAUACUGGAUGGCUUGAAUCCGGAGAGGGAUGCGGAAUUCCAGGUGUAGCGGUGAAAUGCGUAGAUAUCUGGAGGAACACCGGUGGCGAAGGCGGCAUCCUGGACCGGCAUUGACGCUGAGGAGCGAAAGCCAGGGGAGCAA
rnacentral:rRNA from 1 species